AUGAACGCUAGCGACAGGCUUAACACAUGCAAGUCGAGGGGCAGCGGGGGUAGCGAUACCCGCCGGCGACCGGCGCACGGGUGAGUAACGCGUAUGCAACUUGCCUAUCAGAGGGGGAUAACCCGGCGAAAGUCGGACUAAUACCGCAUGAAGCAGGGGCCCCGCAUGGGGAUAUUUGCUAAAGAUUCAUCGCUGAUAGAUAGGCAUGCGUUCCAUUAGGCAGUUGGCGGGGUAACGGCCCACCAAACCGACGAUGGAUAGGGGUUCUGAGAGGAAGGUCCCCCACAUUGGUACUGAGACACGGACCAAACUCCUACGGGAGGCAGCAGUGAGGAAUAUUGGUCAAUGGGCGUAAGCCUGAACCAGCCAAGUCGCGUGAGGGAUGAAGGUUCUAUGGAUCGUAAACCUCUUUUAUAAGGGAAUAAAGUGCGGGACGUGUCCCGUUUUGUAUGUACCUUAUGAAUAAGGAUCGGCUAACUCCGUGCCAGCAGCCGCGGUAAUACGGAGGAUCCGAGCGUUAUCCGGAUUUAUUGGGUUUAAAGGGUGCGUAGGCGGCCUUUUAAGUCAGCGGUGAAAGUCUGUGGCUCAACCAUAGAAUUGCCGUUGAAACUGGGGGGCUUGAGUAUGUUUGAGGCAGGCGGAAUGCGUGGUGUAGCGGUGAAAUGCAUAGAUAUCACGCAGAACCCCGAUUGCGAAGGCAGCCUGCCAAGCCAUUACUGACGCUGAUGCACGAAAGCGUGGGGAUCAAACAGGAUUAGAUACCCUGGUAGUCCACGCAGUAAACGAUGAUCACUAGCUGUUUGCGAUACACUGUAAGCGGCACAGCGAAAGCGUUAAGUGAUCCACCUGGGGAGUACGCCGGCAACGGUGAAACUCAAAGGAAUUGACGGGGGCCCGCACAAGCGGAGGAACAUGUGGUUUAAUUCGAUGAUACGCGAGGAACCUUACCCGGGUUUGAACGCAUUCGGACCGAGGUGGAAACACCUUUUCUAGCAAUAGCCGUUUGCGAGGUGCUGCAUGGUUGUCGUCAGCUCGUGCCGUGAGGUGUCGGCUUAAGUGCCAUAACGAGCGCAACCCUUGCCACUAGUUACUAACAGGUAAAGCUGAGGACUCUGGUGGGACUGCCAGCGUAAGCUGCGAGGAAGGCGGGGAUGACGUCAAAUCAGCACGGCCCUUACAUCCGGGGCGACACACGUGUUACAAUGGCGUGGACAAAGGGAGGCCACCUGGCGACAGGGAGCGAAUCCCCAAACCACGUCUCAGUUCGGAUCGGAGUCUGCAACCCGACUCCGUGAAGCUGGAUUCGCUAGUAAUCGCGCAUCAGCCAUGGCGCGGUGAAUACGUUCCCGGGCCUUGUACACACCGCCCGUCAAGCCAUGAAAGCCGGGGGCGCCUAAAGUCCGUGACCGUAAGGAGCGGCCUAGGGCGAAACUGGUAAUUGGGGCU
rnacentral:rRNA from 1 species